rnacentral:rRNA from 1 species
AUUGAACGCUGGCGGCAGGCCUAACACAUGCAAGUCGAGCGGAAGAAGGGAGCUUGCUCCUGGAUUCAGCGGCGGACGGGUGAGUAAUGCCUAGGAAUCUGCCUGGUAGUGGGGGAUAACGUCCGGACACGGGCGCUAAUACCGCAUACGUCCUGAGGGAGAAAGUGGGGGAUCUUCGGACCUCACGCUAUCAGAUGAGCCUAGGUCGGAUUGGCUAGUUGGUGGGGUAAAGGCCUACCAAGGCGACGAUCCGUAACUGGUCUGAGAGGAUGAUCAGUCACACUGGAACUGAGACACGGUCCAGACUCCUACGGGAGGCAGCAGUGGGGAAUAUUGGACAAUGGGCGAAAGCCUGAUCCAGCCAUGCCGCGUGUGUGAAGAAGGUCUUCGGAUUGUAAAGCACUUUAAGUUGGGAGGAAGGGCAGUAAGUUAAUACCUUGCUGUUUUGACGGUACCAACAGAAUAAGCACCGGCUAACUUCGUG